GUGCAACCUGCCUUUAUCUGGGGGAUAGCCUUUCGAAAGGGAGAUUAAUACCCCAUAAUAUAUUUAUCGGCAUCGAUGGAUAUUGAAAACUCCGGUGGAUAGAGAUGGGCACGCGCAAGAUUAGAUAGUUGGUGAGGUAACGGCUCACCAAGUCUACGAUCUUUAGGGGGCCUGAGAGGGUGAUCCCCCACACUGGUACUGAGACACGGACCAGACUCCUACGGGAGGCAGCAGUGAGGAAUAUUGGACAAUGGGUGAGAGCCUGAUCCAGCCAUCCCGCGUGAAGGACGACGGCCCUAUGGGUUGUAAACUUCUUUUGUAUAGGGAUAAACCUACUCUCGUGAGAGUAGCUUGAAGGUNCUAUACNAAUAAGCACCGGCUAACUUCCGUGCCAGCAGCCCGCGGUAAUACGGANGGUGCAAGCGUUAUCCGGAUUUAUUGGGUUUAAAGGGUCCGUAGGCGGAUCUUUAAG
rnacentral:rRNA from 1 species